UUCCGGUUGAUCCUGCCGGAGGCGACCGCUGUGGGAGUCCGAUUAAGCCAUGCGAGUCGAGAGAAUAAGAUUCUCGGCAUACCGCUCAGUAACACGUGGAUAACCUGCCCUGUGCUGGGGGAUAACCUCGCGAAAGUGAGAACAAUACCCCAUGGGUCACUACGCCUGGAACGGUGAGUGGCCGAAAGCUCCGGCGGCACAGGAUGGGUCUGCGGCGUAUCAGGUUGUAGGGGGUGUAACGGACCUCCUAGCCUUCAACGCGUACGGGUUGUGAGAGCAAUUGCCCGGAGAUGGAUUCUGAGACACGAAUCCAGGCCCUACGGGGCGCAGCAGGCGCGAAAACUUGACAAUGCGAGAAAUCGUGAUCAGGGGACUCCAGUUGGCUGGAUCAAAAGUCCAGUCUGAACCGACUUUAAAUCGGUCGGGUAAUAGGGGCGGGAAAGACCGGUGCCAGCCGCCGCGGUAAUACCGGCGCCCCAAGUGGUCGUCACUAUUAUUGGGCCUAAAACGUCCGUAGCCGGUUUGGUAAAUCCGUGGGUAAAUCAGACAGCCCAACUGUCUGAAUUCUGCGGGGACUGCCAGACUUGAGACCGGGAGAGGUACGGGGUACCUCUGGGGUAGCGGUAAAAUGCGAUCAUCCCAGAGGGACCACCUGUUGCGAAGGCGCCGUACUAGAACGGAUCUGACGGUCAGGGACGAAGCCUAGGGGCACGAACCGGAUUAGAUACCCGGGUAGUCCUAGGUGUAAACGCUGUGGACUUGGUGUCGGGGACCUUCUGAGGGUUUCCGGUGCCGGAGUGAAGAUGUUAAGUCCACUGCCUGGGGAGUACGGUCGCAAGGCUGAAACUUAAAGGAAUUGGCGGGGGAGCACCGCAACGAGAGGAGCGUGCGGUUUAAUUGGAUUCAACGCCGGA
rnacentral:rRNA from 1 species